GGUCCUAAGGUAGCAAAAUUCCUUGACAGGUAAGUUCCGUCCAGCAUGAGCGGUGUAACGACUUCCUCACUGUCACUAGCCUGGUCUCUUAGAAAUUGAGUCAUCCUUGAUUACGAGGAAGCCAACGGCCUGACAAUAAGACCCUGAGCACCUUUCCUUCUUUCCAGCGCGCGCGCGGUGGAAGAAGAUAUGGCAGCCUAUGUU
rnacentral:rRNA from 18 species